rnacentral:rRNA from 1 species
GUUCCUACGGGACGCAGCAGUGAGGAAUAUUGGUCAAUGGGCGGAAGCCUGAACCAGCCAAGUCGCGUGAGGGAAGAAGGCCCUGCGGGUCGCAGACCUCUUUGGACGGGGAGCAAGGCCGCCGACGUGUCGGCGGAAGGAGAGUACCCGUAGAACAAGCAUCGGCUAACUCCGUGCCAGCAGCCGCGGUAAUACGGAGGAUGCGAGCGUUAUCCGGAUUUAUUGGGUUUAAAGGGUGCGUAGGCGGUUUUUUAAGUUAGUGGUUAAACGUCGGGGCUUCACCUUGAUUUGCCAUUC